rnacentral:lncRNA from 1 species
CCCGCGACCCCCUGCCCCGCGCCGCGACCCCACGCCCCGCGACCGCCCAGCCCCGCCCCGCACCUUAAGUUGGACCAGGCGAAGUUUAGGGCGAGCUGGAAGCUGGGGUCUGUCUCGUCCUUGAGGCCAGCGACACUCCAGACGAGCUCUGGCAAGUCGCGCUCCUGCUGCAGGUCCAGCCGGCUCCAAGGCUGCCCAUGCCGCGCCAUGCUCCGCGCUCCUGCAGCGCGCGUCUGGCGCUGUUUGCGCGAGAGGUCGGGCUCCUGCGACAGUGGCUUUCUGAGCUGGCGGUUUUCUCGCCAUACUUCGACCUCUCCUGCCAGGCAACUGGCGAACUGGCAGUUAUUCUCACGACAGUUCAACCUCCCGCUUGGCGGGGGCUGGAGCGUGCAUUUUCUGGUCGGUACUUGGAGAGACGAUAAAGGGAGAAGAAAAUGUCAGAGAAAAGAUCAGUGUCACUGGGCAAGCCAUGGCCUGAAUCCUGGCUCUGACAGACCACUUCUAGCCUCUAAGUGGUACUGAGGCUAAAAGUGCUGUGCUCCUCAGGCCUCCCUGUUGACCCCAGUGAGUACUUCACACUGAAGCAGAAAGAUACCUGCCCAAAACACUUCACUUUCCCUCCAGUGACUGGGAGGCCUGGGGAGCAGGCCCUAGGUCCUGCCACAGUUCCAUGUAAGGCCCUGGCUUUGCAAACACUUACCCCAGUGCUCCUAUGUACACUCUGUGAAGGCAGACUGGGAGUCAGGGGCAGGGGAAAUGGACACAGCCAUGGUCUUGCAAGGCCCCUGGUCAUCAGUGUGCCCCUCACAAAUGCUUCCAAGUCCUCCUCAAAAGGAAGGGACUGUUAUUCACUGUUUGCACAACUGCUAUAAAUACGAUAUUACCCAGAGAAUGGGUAAUAUAUAAAGAAAAGAGGUUUAAUUGGCUCACGGUUAUGUGGACUGUACAGGCAUCUGCUUCUGAGGUGGCCUCAGGAACCUUACAAUCAUGGUGGAAAGGCAAAGGGGAAGCAAGCUGUCUUACGUGGUGAGAGCAAGAGGAAGAGAGAGAGGAGGAAGUGAUGCAUAUUUAAACAAGCAGAUCUUGGGAUAACUCUAUCACAAGACAGCACU